CCCUUAGAUGUUCUGGGCCGCACACGCGCUACACUGAAGGAGGCAGCGUGUACUCCUGGAUCGAAAGAUUUGGGUAACCCGCGAAUCUCCUUCGUGCUAGGGAUUGAGGUUUGCAAUUAUCCUUCAUGAACGAGGAAUUCCCAGUAAGUGCAAGUCAUAAGCUUGCGCUGACUACGUCCCUGCCCUUUGUACACACCGCCCAUCGCUACUACCGAUUGAAUGAUUUAGUGAGGACUUCGGACUGGGACCGAUGCGGCUUUCGGGCUGCGUCGGUAUUCUGGAAAGAUGUCCAAACUGUAUCAUUUAGAGGAAGUAAAANUCGUAACA
rnacentral:rRNA from 1 species